GGGCAUUAUUUAUGAUUCGGGUAUUUUGGUUUGAUCAGUUAUGAUUUAGAUUUUUCGGUUAGGAGUAGUUUUGUUAAAUUUAUGUAAAUAGACGGGUUAGAUUUGGUUUUGAUUAAGAGAUUUUGGUUAGAAAAAAAGUAUUUUACCAGGAACUCUUGAUAUCAGACCAUUCUUUCUUGGUAAUUUUCAACUAAUCUCUUACCCUAUUGUCUUCAAUUAGGUUUGCUGUCAAUUUAGGGAUUUGAAAUCAAGGACACAACCUAGAAGAUCUAAUUCUAAAUGAUUUGUUAUUAGGAAUUUUUAGUUUCUGGGUUUUGUAUCAAAUUCUAACUGAAUUGUUAUUAGGAAUUUUCAGUUUAUGGAUUUUGUUACUUUGCUUUCAUGAAUUUUAGUUUCAUAUUUUGUUUUGUUUUGUGACUUGCUAUCUGGAUCAUUAAAGAAGAAGAAGGAUUAUUAUAUAAGAAGAGAAAGCCAAUGGAGCAUACACAGGUCAAGAAGGGAGAACGUUUUUAUGGUGAUUGGCUUUUUAAAUUGGCUUUUUGAUUGUUGAGUGGAACCAUGAAGGCAAGCGGAUAUAGAAGAUGUCCAUGAGACCAAAUGUAAGAGAGAGUUUGAGAGACAAGCAGCAUUGCAAGCAUUGGAGAUUUGUUGCCCAUCCAAAGAGAUUCACUGUAAGUCAUUAUUUUAGAGAGAGAGUCUGUAAUGCAAUGAGAGAGAAAUUUGAUGGCCCUGCCACUGCCUUCUCGGUCUUCUGCCACUGUCAUACUUUCAGAACCAUUACCGGUAAUUUUGUUCUAUCUACUUAUUUUUAAGUUAGGUGACAAAUAUGAUAUAGGAAUUAAUUUGUUAGAGUUGCUUCUGUUUUUCAUAUUUGUGUCUAAUUUAGUUUUGUUUUGGGUAUGUCAGUUAAAUUAUUAAUAUCUUCUGUAACAAAAACUGAAAUGACUUUUCAAUUUGUAACAUUUGGCUUGAUCUCCAACAGAAAACUCCUUUUAGCCUAUUUUUCCCCGAAACCAAACACCCAAAAACCUUAAACCAAAGAGAGCCAUAAUAGGAACAACUGGUCAUAAGUCACAACCACAACCCAUCCAAGCAUCUACAAUGUCAACAAUGACAAGAAUAGAAGGUAUGAUAAUAAAUGAUUUUGUUCUUUUGAUUAAAUCUAUAGAGCCCAAAAGUUUAAUGUUUUCACCUUACAUUACACUUUGUAUUAAUGAGCAUCCCGCUUAAUCCUAGAUUUACAAGUUGAAUGAUGUCACUUCUCAUUAGAUGGGGAGUCCAUAUGCUUAUAGGUGGGCUUGGUAGGAAGCCAAGAAGGUGAGCAGCUAGGUGGAUUAAAAUUGUUUCUUUUUGAAACAUUGUUCAAUGCUGUAGACAGUGAGGAAUGCAUACUUUAAUGCUGCUAUAGUCAAAAGAUUUAAAAAAAAAAA